GAUGUUGGGUUAAGUCCCGCAACGAGCGCAACCCCUACCUUUAGUUGCCACCAUUAAGUUGGGCACUUUAAAGGAACUGCCAGUGAUAAGCUGGAGGAAGGUGGGGAUGACGUCAAGUCCUCAUGGCCCUUACGUGUUGGGCUACACACGUGCUACAAUGGCACUUACAGUGGGAAGCUAAGACGCGAGUCCAAGCUAAUCCCUAAAAUGUGCCUCAGUUCGGAUUGCACUCUGUAACUCGAGUGCAUGAAGCUGGAAUUACUAGUAAUCGCGGAUCAGCGCGCCGCGGUGAAUACGUUCCCGGGUCUUGUACACAC
rnacentral:rRNA from 1 species